rnacentral:rRNA from 1 species
GACGAGGGGUCCAAGCGUUGUUCGGAAUCAUUGGGCGUAAAGCGGGUGUAGGUGGCUCUAUAAGUCAGAAGUGAAAGCCCCGGGCUUAACCCGGGAAGUGCUUUUGAUACUGCAGAGCUUGAAUGUGGGAGAGGAUCGUGGAAUUCCAGGUGUAGUGGUGAAAUACGUAGAUAUCUGGAGGAACACCGGUGGCGAAGGCGGCGAUCUGGCCCAACAUUGACACUGAGACCCGAAAGCGUGGGGAUCGAAACAGG